rnacentral:rRNA from 1 species
AGCGAACGCUGGCGGCGUGGAUAAGACAUGCAAGUCGAACGGAAAUCAUCGGGUAGCAAUAUUCGGUGGUUUUAGUGGCGAAAGGGUGCGUAACACGUAGCUACCUACCUCAAUGUGGGGGAUAACUCCGAGAAAUCGGAGCUAAUACCGCAUGUGACCGAGAGGUCAAAGCCGGGGACCGCAAGGCCUGGCGCAAUGAGAUGGGGCUGCGGCCUAUCAGCUAGUUGGCGGGGUAAUGGCCCACCAAGGCGAGGACGGGUAGCUGGUCUGAGAGGACGACCAGCCACACUGGAACUGAGACACGAUCCAGACACCUACGGGUGGCAGCAGUCGAGGAUUUUUCUCAAUGGGCGAAAGCCUGAAGGAGCGACGCCGCGUGGGGGAUGAAGGUCUUCGGAUUGUAAACCCCUGUCAUCUGGGAGCAAUGUUGUUCACCUAACACGUGAACAAUUGAUAGUACCGGAAGAGGAAGCCGUGGCUAACUCUGUGCCAGCCGCCGCCGUAACAC